AGCAUGGCGAAAGCUGACGCAGCACGCCGCGUGAGGGAUAAGGCCUUCGGGUUGUAAACCUCUUUCGAGCAGGGACGAUAAUGACGGUACCUGCAGAAGAAGCUCCGGCCAACUACGUGCCAGCAGCCGCGGUAAUACGUAGGGAGCGAGCGUUGUCCGGAUUCAUUGGGCGUAAAGAGCUCGUAGGCGGCUUGAUAAGUCGGAUGUGAAACCUCCAGGCUCAACCUGGAGUCGCCAUCCGAUACUGUCAUGGCUAGAGUCCGGUAGGGGCCCACGGAACUCCUGGUGUAGCGGUGAAAUGCGCAGACAUCAGGAAGAACACCGGCGGCGAAGGCGGUGGGCUGGGCCGGCACUGACGCUGAGGAGCGAAAGCGUGGGGAGCGGACAGGAUUAGAUACCCUGGUAGUCCACGCCGUAAACGUUGGGCACUAGGUGUGGGGUCUUAUCAACGGACUCCGUGCCGUAGCUAACGCAUUAAGUGCCCCGCCUGGGGAGUACGGGCGCAAGGCUAAAAUUCAAAGGAAUUGACGGGGGCCGUACAAGCGGCGGAGC
rnacentral:rRNA from 1 species